GUGGGGCUCGAACUCACAGACUGUGAGAUUCAUGACCCGAGCUGAAGUCGGACGCUCAACCGACUGAGCCACCCAGGUGCCCCCAGAUUGGCUUCUUUUAAUUACUGAUAUGAAUUUGAGAUUCUUUUCAUGGCUUGAUAGCUCAUUUCUUUCUAGUGCUGAUUGAUAAUUCCGUUGUCUGAGCAUGCCACGGUUUAUUUAGCCAUUCACCUGCUGAAGGCUUGAUUGCUUCCAAGUUUUGGCAGUUAUGAAGAAAGCUUCUGUAAACAUCCACACGCAAGUUUUCCUGUGGACGUAAUUUUUCAAUUCAUGUCAGUAGAUGGGAGCAAGAUGACUGGAUCGUACGGUAUGUAUUGUUCCAGGCCCCAACAUGGGCACUGGGGAUACAGCAGCAAAAAGACAGAUGCAAUAUCUACCAGAUGCAAGUUUUGUAAACAGAGGCAACAAAGCUGACCAGGGCAGUGAGAGAGGCCUCCCUGAAGAAGCAAUGGUUGAGUUAACAUCUGAAAGUUGGCCAUGCAGAAAGGGAAGUACUGGGACCCAAGACAAAACAGAGGCAAAGAAAUGGAAGGAACCACAAUAUAACUGGACAGGGGUUUAUUAUUGUUCAUCGUUUGACUUCUAAAUAUGGACACGGGGAUCGUUAAUUUUGAUGGUCAACUCUUCUAAAGUAGAAGCAUUUAAAGCUGUGAAUUUCCCUCAAAGCAUCAUUUUUUAUAUAAUAUUUUCACUCCCCACUCCGUAAGGUGGGCUCUCCAUAGCGACUUCCUUUGGCAGAGUAUGCUAUCAAAAGGGGGAAAGAGUAUAACUUCACAGUGUAGAAACCUGACAAAUACUUCCUCAGCCAGGUGAGCAAGGUCUGCCUCAACAGCGAUAGCUCAUGUUGAUAGUAAUUACCACCGAAGUGACGUGAUGUAAGUGGCACUUUAGGUGCAGUCUUCCUCCCAAAUACCAUAAUCCCAGGCUAAUCAUAAGAGAACAUCAGACAAAUUCCAUAAGUGGGGCAUCCUGCAAAAUAUCUGACCAAUGCUUCUCAACAUUGUCAAAGUCAAUAAAAUCAAGGAAAGUCUGGGGAACUGUUGCAGCCAAGAGGAGCAUAAGGAGAUUUGACUACUAAGUGUAAUGUUAUAUUUGGGCAUUAGGGAAAAACCUAGAGAAUCUGAAUAAAGUAUGAAGUUUAGGUAAUAAGAAGGUAUUAUUUGGUUUAUUUUUUUAAUGUUUAUUUAUUUUGAGAGAGAGAGAGCAAGUACGAGUGGGUGAGGGGCAGAGAGAGAGGGAGAGAGAGAAGCCCAAGCAGGCUCUGUGCUGCAGAGUCCAAGAAGGGCUCAGUCUCACAAACCAUGAGAUUAUGUAUGACCUGAGCUGAAAUCAAGAGUUGGACACUUAACGGACUGAGCCACCCAGGCACCCCUUAUUUGGUUUGUUAAUUGAGGCAACUGUACCAUGCUAAUAUAAGAAGGUAAUAAUAAGGGAACAUGGGUUUGGGAUAUAUGGGAAGUCUCUAUAUUAUCUUCCCAUUAUAUUAUUGGAAGGGGGCACCAGUGUCAUGUCCUAGAGUCCAAAGGCCCAAACACCUUUGGACUCUAGGACCAAGGGCAGGAGAAGAUGAAUGUCUUAGCUCAAGAAAAGGAAGAAAAUUUGCCCUUUCUGCACUUUUGUUCUAUUCAGGCCCUCACAGGAUUGUAUGAUGCCCACUCACAUUGAUGGGCAUCACAUUGAUGGGAGUGGAUCUCUUUACACAGUCUGCCGGUUCACAUGCUAAUCUCUUCUGAAACAUCCGCUCAGACAUCACAAAAGCUGUAUUUUAUCAGCUACGUGGAUACCCUUUAGCCCAGCUAAGUUGAGAUAUAUGUGUGUGUGUGUGUGUGUGUGUGUGUGUGUGUGUGUGUGUGUGUGUAUUCGGGUGAUCUUUGUAAUUCAUGUGUUAUUCAACAGUGUUAUUUUUAACUUCCAAAUAUUUGAGAAUGUGUAAUGUAUCUUUUUUGUUAUUCACUUCUACCUUAUUUGCAUUGUGGUCAAAGAUCAUGGUCAAUACAACAUCUCUAUAUUGAAAUAUUGGAGGUUUCUUUUGUGUUUAGUGUAUGACCUACUUUUAUAAAUGUAUUAUUGUGGUAGGGUCCCCUCCCUAAGGAAAAAAAAAAACCUCAAGGUAAUCUGGCUGUGUGUGUACAUGACAACAACCCUCAUGAUCUUGUAACAUGAGACCGCUUAAUCAGACUGCAUGUUUGUAUGCGUGCCAUAUAUGGGAGACGAAGAAGUGAAAAAUAUAUAAAGAACUAUGCCACGUGGCAUUCGGGGCUCAGUUCUUUGGGUACGAACCCAACUGAGCAGUGCUGGCAGGAAUACAGCUGCAUCCUGGAAAGAAAAGCCUCUGUGUCACGACUGUGCGAGAAUCCUGCUACAUUACUUGGGGGCUUGCAUCCGGGAUUUGGAGGCGGUGGUUUCCACCUCCUUUGCCACCGGGGAUACGAACCUCGGGGCGCUGGGAGAGGCGGCUUCACCUGGUGCCAGCAGACCUUUUGAUCCUCAGGAGACUAGCCCUGCACUGGGGCAGGGACCCCGUGUGCGCCAACGGAACCCGUGAGGCCCAGGAGCCAGCUCAGGGAGCGCCCGUCAGACUGGUGAGAGCCCGGGUUCGUUUUGGCAGACCUGCCCCUAACAGGCAGAAGAGGAGCCUGAUCACCUCCCAGCGUGGCCCUAGUAGGUCCAAGAGGGACGAGGAACGAAGCCGCAACUCUAAGGCACUGGGUGCUGGCUGGUGGGUUGGAGUGGCCAUGUGACUGUGUGUGGGGAUUUGUCUCUCGUUCAUUUCCUGGGUCAGUGACUAUGAUAAUUAGAGACAACUGUCUCUGGUCGGUUUACCUCAGAACGGGGACUUUAAGGAAUAUUCCCAAGCAGCUGCUGAAACUCCUUUUGUUUCGGGGAAACUCCCUGUCUUCUCCAGACUGACACGGACUGGGGGGGAAGGGGGAACAAAACAAAACAAAACAAAACAGAACAAAAGAAACCUGGAGUCUGCUCCUCUGUCUGACCUGAUAAGAUUUAAACCAAGGAAUUCUCUUUCUCUGCCUUCUGCUGGCACCUCACCUCUUCUGCCUGCCCUUCCCCCCCUCCUGUUUCUGCCCCACCUGGGGGGCGGCCUGCACAACUGGCUCCCCAAUGCCUCAGGCACCGUCAACUCCUCCUCCCACCCUAGAUGUCCAGGAGCGAAGACCUCGGAUGUCAGAUGUUCCCACCAACGUUCCAGGCCAACUAUUCAAACGCAGUACGGCGAUUAGAGACAUCUCCAGAAAACCUCUAACUAAAGUUUUGUCUCAGCCCCUGGGAGACAUGUGGGAAAAACAUGUCCUAAGGGCUGUGGAGAAAGUUGGAGAAGAGAUUAAGGAUGACAGAGAAGGGUUGAAAUGGUUGCCCUAAUAGAGCCGGAAACAGAAUUUCUGACACAGUUGAGGACCUGUUUGAGGCUGGAGUGGAACCAGUCUACGUUCUUAGGUGACUUUCUCUGGCAGUGUUAAAACUGGCAAAGCGGACAUUUCUAGUUAUAUUGGCUCAUGAUUGGGAGACCAAGGGACACAAUGAAGAAACUGCGGUGAGGGGUCUCUCAGAGGUGGAUUGCAGAAUCUAGGCUUCGUGAAGCAGGAAUUGAGGAGACGAGUUGGUGGGAAGAAAUCGGAAAAGUUACAGAGCCUGGAAGGAUCGAUGACGUUGAAGAGUGAUACAGCAAGAGAAGCAGAGUAACAAAAGGGGCGAUCACAAGAUUGGAACCAGAGAGUAGAUGUAGAAAUUUGAGUCUUCAGACAUGGGCAGAGCUGGCUGACAGCCAGGCCUGGUGACAGCCAAGGGUGUGCAUGGCCAAGUCAAAACCAGAGAAAAAGCAUCCGAACCUUCCAUUUUGUCGAAAACCUACUUUUCCAAAUAUUUUAAUUAAGUCUUACUUAUAAUUUAUAAUUAUACUACAGAGUUACAGUAUAAGCAGCAUAUGUAAAUAUACACUACAUAUAAUGUAUAAUUAUAGAUUGCUUGGCAUACCCAGCAUGUUUUUAAAAACAUAAAAGAAAAAAAGGAAAACUCCACGCAUGUAUAUAUAGAUAAAAAUGACUAGAUGAACAUAAACCAAAAUGUUAACAGUGAGAUUAUGGCUGAUAAUUUUUCUUUUGCGUUUCAAAUGUUGUACAACAGCCAGUAGUAUUUCUAAAAUCUUAAAAGGCAAUGCAUUUUAUAUUUUGAAAGAAAAUGGUGUACCCCAAGUGAACUUCGCUCUUUCAGGAUAUCUCAGGCUUGAAAGGAAGUAAUAUUCUGAACUAUGGAACAUAUUGUCAUGUAUUAGUAUAGAGUACCUAAUGCAAAUAGUAAUUCCAAUGAGUCACUUCUUUCCCACUCGUUUUAAACUAUGAGAUAGCAGUCAGGCCUAAUUAUUUCAAUUUAUAAAUAUUUACUCUCAAGACAAGUUCCUUAUGUUCAUAAUGUUGACUUAAUAAAUGCAGACUGACAUCGA